GAUGAACGCUGGCGGCGUGCCUAAUACAUGCAAGUCGAGCGAAUGGAUUAAGAGCUUGCUCUGGUGAAUUAGUGGCGAACGGGUGAGUAACACGUGAGUAACCUGCCCUUGACUCUGGGAUAACUGCGGGAAACUGUAGCCAAUACCGGAUACGACCCUCGGAGGCAUCUCCUGGGGGUGGAAAGAAUUUCGGUCAAGGAUGGACUCGCGGCCUAUCAGCUAGUUGGUGAGGUAAAGGCUCACCAAGGCGACGACGGGUAGCCGGCCUGAGAGGGUGACCGGCCACACUGGGACUGAGACACGGCCCAGACUCCUACGGGAGGCAGCAGUGGGGAAUAUUGCACAAUGGGCGCAAGCCUGAUGCAGCAACGCCGCGUGAGGGAUGACGGCCUUCGGGUUGUAAACCUCUUUUAGCAGGGAAGAAGCGAAAGUGACGGUACCUGCAGAAAAAGCACCGGCUAACUACGUGCCAGCCGCCGCGGUAA
rnacentral:rRNA from 1 species